GACGAACGCUGGCGGCGUGCCUAAUACAUGCAAGUCGAACGCAGUGGGGACUGGUGAGUAACACGUGGGUAACCUCCCAUCAGAGGGGAUAACACUUGGAAACAGGUGCUAAACCGAUACUGAUUGAUGAACCAGCGGUGCAUUAGCUAGUUGUUGAGGUAACGGCGCACAAAGGCAACGAUGCAUAGCGGACCUGAGAGGGUGAGCGGCCACACUUGGACUGAGACAGGGCCAAGACUCUUACGGGAGGCAGCAGAAGGGAAUAUUCGGCAAUGGAAGCAAGUCGGAUCGAGCAACGCCGGGUGAGUGAAGAAGGUUUUCGGAUCGUAAAACUCUGUUGUUAGAGAAGCGGUAUCUAACCAGAAAGCCACGGCUAACUACGUGCCAGCAGCCGCGGUAAUUC
rnacentral:rRNA from 1 species